GGUAAGAUGGCCGAGUUGGUCUAAGGCGCCAGGUUAAGGUCCUGGUCUCGCAAGGGGCGUGGGUUCGAAUCCCACUCUUAUCA
rnacentral:tRNA from 1 species